rnacentral:rRNA from 1 species
GAUGAACGCUGGCGGCGUGCCUAAUACAUGCAAGUCGAGCGAACGGACGAGAAGCUUGCUUCUCUGAUGUUAGCGGCGGACGGGUGAGUAACACGUGGAUAACCUACCUAUAAGACUGGGAUAACUUCGGGAAACCGGAGCUAAUACCGGAUAAUAUUUUGAACCGCAUGGUUCAAAAGUGAAAGACGGUCUUGCUGUCACUUAUAGAUGGAUCCGCGCUGCAUUAGCUAGUUGGUAAGGUAACGGCUUACCAAGGCAACGAUGCAUAGCCGACCUGAGAGGGUUGUCCGCCACACCGGAACCGAGACACGGUCCCGAAUCCUAAGGGAGGCAGCAGUAGGGAAUCUUCCGCCAUGGGCGAAAGCCUGACGGAGCCAAGCCGGGUGAGUGAUGAAGGUCUUCCGAUUGUAAAACCCUGUUAUUAGGGAAGAACAUAAGUGUAAGUAACUGUGCACAUCUUGACGGUACCUAAUCAGAAAGCCACGGCUAACUACGUG